ACAAAAGUUUAGUUUACAAUGGGUUUGUGACAUGCAUACGUAACACGUGACCUUACACAACAACCACAUCCAGACAAAAGUCACUCCCAUUUCGGUAAAAACUAUACAGAACCAUAUAUAUGAACCACUGAGUAGGUGGCUUUGACUUUUGCUCUCAAAUCUGAGCUACUGUCCCAAAACUUAAACAGUAUGAAAGUCAGCUGCAAGGUCUCCCUCUCUCCUUCACAGCUGUUGGGGAAUGACUCUAAAAGGCCUUGGGAUGAUGGACGGAGAGAGUCAUGCAGAACGAGAGAUAACAACUCUAUCAGCUCACGCUCUGUACUUACUGGGCUCAAGGUAGUGCUAAUCUCACUCUACAAAAAAGCCAAUAAGAGAGAGCCAAAAGCCAUCAUCAUUCUUCUGCUGUACUUUGCCAUGGUCACCGUGUUCCUCAAAGCAGGGAGCCAUUUUAGAUGGGACUAAACUUAAUAAGGCCAGGCGUACGAAAUCCGUGCCCGGAGAUUUCCACAGAUUUUACCGCGCAUCACUGACAAGCACAAAUACCGCAC